rnacentral:lncRNA from 1 species
ACAAAUCCUUUUUUUUAAAAAAACCUCUCAACCCUUUAGUCCUCCGACCAUUGGUCGGUCAUCGGACCCUCGCCGGCCACCGUACCGGCCGCCUAUCUCCGGCGCCGGUACCAUCGUCCACGGUGGCCGGAAAAAAAAAUUCCCCUUUUAACCUUCUUAACCUCUUGAGCGUAGAUCCGGGCUCAAACCUCGCGAAAUAUUGACGAAUGGGCCUCUAGAAGCAAAAAAACCUUUCGGCUUCCGGUCGUCAAUCCUCGGUGACGACUUCCUUGGCCAUCCACGGCGGUUAGGGGCCUAAAACAGGUUUUUUCCUUCCUUUUAUAUUUAUAUUAUUUAUAAAAAUAAUAAAAUAAAUAGAUAUAAUCGAAAAAAAAGAAUAAAAAUAAAAUAGAAACGCAAAUAUCAACCUUUAUUCUCUUAUGCCUCUGUUUGUAAUGUAAAAGAUAGGGCCCUUUUUUGAUUUUUUUAAAAAAAAUCCCCCCCUUUACAAUAUUACAAUGGCUUUAUAUAGCCGAAUGAAAAUACAAGAAAUGGAAACGAAAAAUCUGCUUGAUUUGAUUUGAUUUGGUUUGAUUUGAUUUUUGUUUCCUUUCUUGUGUUCGCAGGUGUAGAUCGUGAAGAUUCGGGGGUGAGGCAAGGCUCGACUGCGGCGCUGUUGAAGAUUAGAAACCCUAGGGUUUUAUCCGUUUUGGGCCAUUGUAAUUUGGGCCACCACUUUAUUUUGGUUUGGGCCUUGUAGCCCGUUUUGUAUUUGGACACUAUGGCUGUUUUUUUAUUUACAAAAGGGACGGGUAAAAUUUAGGUAUUACAAACGUAUUUUAAAUAUAUUUCACCUUGGAUUUGAG